GCGUCGGUAGUGCAACGGUUCAGCACGCGCUCUCGGAUACAGUGAAAUGUGCGUUCGAAUCCCAGCUGACGCA